rnacentral:rRNA from 1 species
GGGGAAUCUUGCACAAUGGGCGAAAGCCUGAUGCAGCAACGCCGCGUGCGGGAAGAAGGCCCUAGGGUUGUAAACCGCUUUCAGUAGGGAAGAAAAUGACGGUACCUACAGAAGAAGGUGCGGCCAACUACGUGCCAGCAGCCGCGGUGACACGUAGGCACCAAGCGUUAUCCGGAUUUAUUGGGCGUAAAGAGCUCGUAGGCGGUUUGGUAAGUCGGGUGUGAAAACUCUGGGCUCAACCCAGAGAGGCCACCCGAUACUGCUAUGACUAGAGUACGGUAGGGGAGCGGGGAAUUCAUGGUGUAGCGGUGAAAUGCGCAGAUAUCAUGAGGAACACCAGCGGCGAAGGCGCCGCUCUGGGCCGUAACUGACGCUGAGGAGCGAAAGCAUGGGUAGCAAAC